ensembl:snoRNA
GGCUUCCUGAUGCUUACCACGGGCUGUGUUCUUACCCUGACUGUAGAUAAAGAAGAAAUCAGAGUAAGCCUACGCACCUUGGCCCUGGUCUGUAUUGUAAAUGGGCAAACAUGG